rnacentral:rRNA from 1 species
CGCGUAGGCGGCCGAUCAAGUCGGGUGUGAAAGCCCGGGGCUCAACCCCGGAUGUGCAUUCGAGACUGGUUGGCUUGAGGACGGGAGAGGAUGGUGGAAUUCCCAGUGUAGAGGUGAAAUUCGUAGAUAUUGGGAAGAACACCGGUGGCGAAGGCGGCCAUCUGGACCGUUUCUGACGCUGAGGCGCGAAAGCGUGGGGAGCAAACA